rnacentral:lncRNA from 1 species
UAGGAGGAGGGCUGGUACUUCAGCACAUAUUAGGAUUGAUCUUCUUUUUGGUGAGUUAAAUCUUCUUCAAAAAUUUUGUACUUGUUGUCAAUUUAAUUUUUAAGAGGUAUGCAAAUUUUGAGUUAAAAUCAAUGGUUCAUUCAUUAAUUACUGAGAUUUAAAUCUGCUAUAGGAAUUACUUAGGAUUCAUUAGGAUUUGGUUUAGGAUUAGAAUUAGAAUUUUGGAUUUUAUUUGAGGUUUGAUUAGUAUUAGUAUUUGGUUAGAGUUUGUUUAAGUUUUGAUUAAGAUUUGAUUAGGAUUUGAUUAGGAUUUGACUAGAAUUUGUUUAAGAUUUAAUUAGGAUUAUUUAAGAUUUGUUUAGGAUUUGACAAUGGUUUAUUUAAGAUUUGUGUAGGAUUUGGUUAGGACUUAUUUAAGGUUUGUUUAGGAUUUGACUAGGAUUUUUUUAGAGCUUAGUUAGGGCUUAUUUUGAAUUUAUUUAAGAUUUUAUUAGGAUUUUGUUAGGGUUUGUUUAAGAUUUGAUUAGGAUUUGAUUAGGAUUUGACCAAGAUUUUACUAAGAUUUAUUUAGGAUUUGAUUAGGACUUAUUUAGGAGUUGAUUAGGAUUUGACAAGGAUUUGACCAAGAUUUGAUUUAGAUUUGACUAAGGUUUGAUCAAGGUUUGAUUAGAUUUUAAUUUAGGUUUAAUUAAGAUUUAUAUUCUAAUAUCUUAUUAAUAUUUCUAUUUUAGUAUAUUUUUUUGAAUUUCUAUUUUAUUUCUUUAUGAUUUCUUUAAAGGAUUUUUAAGAAUUCUUUGUAUUUAUUGUAAAAUUCUUUUGAAAUUUUAAUUGAAUUUGAUUGAUAUUUAAUUAAAUUUUUUCAUCUUUAAUUAUAGUUUAUUUAAAAAUCUAUUAGAGUUAUUAGGACUUAUUAUUAAAAUUUUCCUUUUAUCUUCCACAACCAAGUGCCUGGUACAUUCUCAAGCUAAAAUUUACAUAAUACAACAACAAAUAUUUAAUACUUUAGCUAUAAAUCAAAUUAUAAAUUUGUUUCCACUUAAAUUGUCUUGAUCCUAAAUCUAUUCAAUAGUAAUUGGAUAAGUAUCUACAAUAAGCAUUACUUGUCUAUUACACUCAUAAUCG